AACGUAGGACGCAAGCGUUAUCCGGAGUUACUGGGCGUAAAGCGCGGGCAGGCGGCUCGAAACGUCUGAUGUGAAAUCUCCUCGCUCAACGGGGAGAGGCCAUUGGAAACGGUCGGGCUGGAGGGCAGUAGAGGCAGGCGGAAUUCCGGGUGGAGUGGUGAAAUGCGUAGAGAUCCGGAGGAACACCAGAGGCGAAGGCGGCCUGCUGGGCUGCACCUGACGCUGAACCGCGAAAGCCAGGGGAGCGAACAGG
rnacentral:rRNA from 1 species